ACUCAGGUCCGACACUGGCUCCGCUGGUACGGACUGUGCACCUGCUCUGGGCCAGGUAAAGUGCCCGGUGAAGGAUUGAUCCCAUGGAGUCACAUCCACCACUGAGGAAGGAGCCACAAGGACAAGGAGACUUGAUCGCCUGCAGAGGUGACGCAGGCACGUGACUCGGGACUCCAUGGGGAAUGUGUGACCGAGGAUGGUCGUCAGGACAGAGUGCAUGGUGAUGUGGCAGCUUCAGCCUGAAGGAAGAAUUUCAUUGUGAUUCUUCAACCCUUGUUUUUCUCUGCUGAGUGUCACACCCUCUAAGCCGACACAGUAUGUCCCACACAACUGUUACUUCAAAAGUGCUUCGGCCCACAGAAUGUCACUGGGCUCCACCCACACUGCUCCCGUCAGCUUGGGACCAUCGGUCUCAUGUCCCAAGCAUCCCUACCGUAAUGGACCAGAACCUGUCAAACUGUAAGCCACAAUAAAUUCUUCCUUUUUAA